UUUGGCUUUUUCAGAACAUGAGUGUUUGUGUGGAGGAAGAGGACAGAGCAGAGUCUCCAGGAUCCAGAUGUGUGUCUAUGAAGAAGGACUGGUCCAGAUGUGAGCCUCCAUCAUUCAGUCCUGAACCUGGAGCCUCAGACACAAAAGUUCAGAACCACAGACAAAGCUCAGAACCUCCAGGACCCAGCUGUCUGUCUAUGAAGAGUGAUUGGUCCAGAUUUGAGCCUGUAAACUUCAAUAAUGAACCUGGAGCCUCAGACACAAA